rnacentral:rRNA from 1 species
UACAGAGGUCCCAAGCGUUGUUCGGAUUUACUGGGCGUAAAGGGCGCGUAGGCGGCGUGGUAAGUCACUUGUGAAAUCUCUGAGCUUAACUCAGAACGGCCAAGUGAUACUGCUGUGCUAGAGUGCAGAAGGGGCAAUCGGAAUUCUUGGUGUAGCGGUGAAAUGCGUAGAUAUCAAGAGGAACACCUGAGGUGAAGACGGGUUGCUGGGCUGACACUGACGCUGAGGCGCGAAAGCCAGGGGAGCAAACGGG